rnacentral:rRNA from 1 species
CAGCAGCCACGGUAAUACGGAGGGUGCAAGCGUUAAUCGGAAUCACUGGGCGUAAAGCGUGCGUAGGCGGUUCGUUAAGUCCGUUGUGAAAGCCCCGGGCUCAACCUGGGAAUGGCAAUGGAUACUGGCGAGCUAGAGUGUGUCAGAGGAUGGUGGAAUUCCCGGUGUAGCGGUGAAAUGCGUAGAGAUCGGGAGGAACAUCAGUGGCGAAAGCGGCCAUCCGGGACAACACUGACGCUGAGGCACGAAAGCGUGGGGAGCAAACAGGAUUAGAUACCCCUGUAGUCCCUGUCUCUUAUAC